AGAGUUUGAUCCUGGCUCAGAGCGAACGCUGGCGGCAGGCCUAACACAUGCAAGUCGAACGGACCCUUCGGGGUUAGUGGCGGACGGGUGAGUAACACGUGGGAACGUGCCUUUAGGUUCGGAAUAGCUCCUGGAAACGGGUGGUAAUGCCGAAUGUGCCCUUCGGGGGAAAGAUUUAUCGCCUUUAGAGCGGCCCGCGUCUGAUUAGCUAGUUGGUGAGGUAAUGGCUCACCAAGGCGACGAUCAGUAGCUGGUCUGAGAGGAUGACCAGCCACAUUGGGACUGAGACACGGCCCAAACUCCUACGGGAGGCAGCAGUGGGGAAUCUUGCGCAAUGGGCGAAAGCCUGACGCAGCCAUGCCGCGUGAAUGAUGAAGGUCUUAGGAUUGUAAAAUUCUUUCACCGGGGACGAUAAUGACGGUACCCGGAGAAGAAGCCCCGGCUAACUUCGUGCCAGCAGCCGCGGUAAUACGAAGGGGGCUAGCGUUGCUCGGAAUUACUGGGCGUAAAGGGCGCGUAGGCGGACAUUUAAGUCAGGGGUGAAAUCCCAGAGCUCAACUCUGGAACUGCCUUUGAUACUGGGUGUCUUGAGUGUGAGAGAGGUAUGUGGAACUCCGAGUGUAGAGGUGAAAUUCGUAGAUAUUCGGAAGAACACCAGUGGCG
rnacentral:rRNA from 1 species